GGAGGCUAGAAAUCAAAAUUUGGCUCUACAGGCCCAUGAUAUUCCCUCUCUGAUCUACUUCUCUGGACAUCUGGGUUUCCUGUGGAUUGCGUUCAAUCAGCAAUGUUGAGGACAUUCUGGAUAAAAGGUAUGGGAGAGUAUGUGACCCAGUGUACUUUCAAUUAAGUGGUGAAGUACAAACAAUGAGAGGUGCCUCCAGCAGCUCCCUGGACUCCUUCUCCCCAAGGGGAAAAG
rnacentral:lncRNA from 1 species